UUGCUCCAUUGGUAAUUGAUUGUGCCUUGAUUUCUGCAGCUGCCAUGACAGAGCCAGAGUCUUCUCGAUCUAGACCAGAAGGGGCCUAUGAUGUCUUCUUGAGUUUUAGAGGAGAAGACACUCGCAAGACAUUUACAGAUCAUCUAUAUACUGCCUUGGUCCAAGCAGGAAUCCACACUUUUCGAGAUGAUGAUGAACUUCCGAGAGGAGAAGAAAUCUCCGAUCAUCUCCUCAGGGCAAUUCAGGAAUCAAAGAUAUCCAUAGUUGUUUUCUCAAAAGGAUAUGCUUCUUCUAGAUGGUGUCUCAAUGAACUUGUAGAGAUUCUUAAGUGCAAAAAUAGGAAAACCGGUCAGAUUGUUCUUCCUAUAUUCUAUGACAUUGAUCCUUCAUAUGUGAGAAAACAGGAUGGCAGUUUUGCAGAAGCAUUUGUUAAACAUGAAGAGCGUUUUGAAGAGAAGUUGGUGAAGGAGUGGAGAAAAGCUCUUGAGGAGGCUGGAAAUCUAUCUGGAUGGAAUCUCAAUGAUAUGGCAAAUGGGUAUGCCUUUUUUCUCUAAGAUUCACUUGCACACAUUUAUGGAGUCAAUAUACUUUACAUUUUUCAAUGUGAAACAAUAAAAUACUUAAUUGACUCGCUAUCAAUGACUUGCUUUUGUCUAUGAGCAGGCAUGAAGCAAAAUUUAUCGAAGGGAUUAUCAAAGAUGUGUUGAAUAAAUUAGAUCCCAAGUACUUGUAUGUUCCUGAGCACCUAGUAGGUAUGGAUCGGGUUGCUCACAAUAUUUAUGACUUUCUAAGUACUGCAACAGAUGAUGUACGCAUUGGGGGCAUGCAUGGGAUGCCAGGAAUAGGAAAGACGACUAUAGCAAAAGUUGUAUUUAAUAAACUCUGCUAUGGAUUCGAGGGAAGCUGUUUUCUUUCGGAUAUCAAUGAAAGGUCAAAACAAGUUAAUGGUCUUGUUCCUUUACAAAAGCAACUUCUUCACGAUAUUUUAAAACAGGAUGUUGCAAACUUCGAUUGUGCUGAUAGAGGAAAGGUUCUGAUCAAAGAGCGACUUCGUCGCAAAAGAGUUCUUGUUGUUGCUGAUGACGUGGCUCAUCUGGACCAGCUGAAUGCAUUGAUGGGAGAUCGAAGUUGGUUUGGUCCCGGAAGUAGAGUAAUUAUUACAACAAGAUAUUCAAGUUUACUUCGUGAAGCAGAUCAAACAUAUCAGAUCAAAGAAUUGGAACCAGAUGAGUCCCUUCAGCUUUUCAGCAGGCAUGCCUUUAAGGACUCCAAGCCAGCAAAAGAUUAUAUUAAGCUUUCGAAGGAUGCAGUUGAUUACUGUGGAGGACUUCCUUUAGCUCUUGAGGUUAUAGGAGCUCUUCUGUACAGGAAAAACAGAGGUGAAUGGGAAAGUGAAAUUGACAACUUGAGCAGAAUUCCAAACCAAGAUAUUCAAGGAAAACUUCUAAUAAGUUAUCACGCACUUGAUGGUGAACUACAAAGAGCAUUCCUUGAUAUUGCAUGCUUCUUUAUUGGUAUAGAGAAAGAAUACGUCGCAAAAGUGCUAGGAGCCCGUUGCCGUCUCAAUCCAGAAGUUGUUUUGAAAACUCUCCGUGAAAGGUCUCUGAUUCAAUUUCAUUGGUGUAACAUUAAAGAUGAAAGGCAGUUAUUUGGAGAGAUGGUAGCCAUGCAUGAUCUAUUACGAGACAUGGGAAGGGAGGUCGUUUGUAAUGCGUCUCCCUUGCAUCUUGGAAAAAGGACCAGAAUUUGGAAUAAAGACGAUGCAUGGAAUGUACUUGACCACCAGAAGGUAAGAGCUCAAUGCAUACACGAAAGCAUAGUCAUGCGUAUUUUCUAGUCACACUUAUUACAAAUAAUUGUAUGAAAGUUGUAUUGUUUUUCUUUUAGGGUACGGAUGUUGUAGAGGGUCUUGCACUGGAUGUCAGAGCAUCAGAAGCUAAAUCACUUGGCGGAGGAUCAUUUGCAGAAAUGAAAUUCUUAAAUUUACUCCAAAUCAAUGGAGUACAUCUCACCGGAUCCUUCAAACUGCUUUCUAAAGAGUUGAUGUGGAUUUGUUGGCAUGAAUGUCCUUUGAAAUAUUUUCCAUCUAAUUUUACUUUAGACAAUCUAGUUGUUCUUGAUAUGCAGCACAGUAACCUCAAAGAAUUAUGGAAGGAAAAAAAGGUACGAAACAUGCUACAAUCCCCAAAAUUUCUCCAAUAUGUAAUUUAUAUUUACAUGUAAUGACUUUCUAUGAUUAAUUUUCAUUAUUUUGCUCUCUAUCAUGAUAGAUGCUCGACAAACUAAAAAUCCUUGAUCUCAGUCAUUCUCAGCACCUUAUUAAAACACCAAACUUGCACAGUUCAAGUCUAGAGAAACUAAUUCUGGAAGGUUGCUCGAGUUUAGUUGAGGUGCAUCAAUCAAUUGAAAAUUUGACGAGCCUCGUUUUCUUGAAUCUGGAGGGAUGUUGGAGGCUGAAGAUUCUCCCUGAAAGCUUUGCCAAUGUAAAGUCUCUUAAAUGUUUGAAUAUUUCUGGGUGUUUACAACUUGAGAAAUUACCAGAACGCAUGGGUGAUAUGGAAUCCUUAACCAAGCUUCUAGCUUAUGGGAUUGAAAAUGAGCAAUUUCUCUCUUCAAUUGGACAAUUAAAGUAUGUUGGAACUUUAUCAUUGCGUGGAUGCAGUUCGGCUCCACCAAGUUCUUCUUUGAUUUCAACAGGUGUUUUGAAUUGGAAACGUUGGCUGCCAGCAUCUUUCAUUGAAUGGAUAUCAGUAAAACAUCUUAAGCUUUCUAAUUGUGGUUUGUCUGAUCGCGCAACUAACUGUGUUGAUUUCAGUGGUUUGUCUGCUCUAGAGUAUUUGAAUCUAGAUGGAAACAAAUUCUCUAGUCUUCCUACUGGGCUCGGCUUCCUUCCCUAUCUAUUAACGUUGAUUGUCGAUGCAUGCAAAUAUCUUGUAUCAAUCCCAGAUCUUCCCUCACGUUUAUGCAUUUUGCAUGCAAAUCAUUGCAAAUCAUUGAAAAGAGUAAGAAUACCAAUCGAGCGAGAAGAAGAACUAUGUAUACAACUAGGGGGAAGUCAUUCGUUAGAAGAGAUACAGGGCAUCGAAAGUCUAAGUAAUAGUUUCUGGUAUGUUUGUGUUGGUGAGCACAGUCAUUCACCAAAUAAAUUUCAGAAGAGCGUUGUUGAGGUACUAUUUCUUUCAAUCUCUUUUGCACAAGAAGAAACACACAAUUGGCACAUAUAUUGAUUAAUAUCUAAAAUCUCAGCAUUACUUGAAAUCAAUAUGUAUACAGGCAAUAAUCAUUAUUAUUAUUAUUUUAUUUUAAAAAAAUAAAUAUCAUCUUUAAUAACAUUUUUUAUUUUUCUUAUUUAAUCUAAAAAAAUAAAUAUCAUCUUUAAUAAUAUUUUUUAUUAAAUUUAAAGUCUGAUUGGUUUUAUUUUUUAUUUCUUGAUUUUAUGAUAAUAUAUUUAUACAGGCAAUGUGCAACGGUCGUGACCCGUAUUGUAUUGCCAACAUUCCUGGUAAGAUGCCAAAUUGGAUGAGCUACAGGGGAGAAGGAUGCUCAUUGUCAUUCCAUAUACCUCCAGUCUUCCAAGGCUUAGUUCUUUGGUUUCAUAAGGAUUCUCAUUGUCACUUCCACAUUGACAUUAUUAUUAUUAUAAGAAAUAAAAGCAACGGUAUUCAAUUGUUUGAAGAAAAACAAUUACCAAUAGACACGGUACGUGGAAGGGUGGGAUGGACAAGAUACAUAAGUAGAAGUGAAAUGGCAAUGGAAGAUUACUGUGGAGAUGACGAAUUGGAACUAUACGUAUAUUCAAAGCCAUCAAUACUUGCGGUGUACAGAGGUUGGCAAUUAAAACCCGGACACAUUAAAGAAUAUGGGGUCCAUGUGAUCGCAGGGAAGUCAGAUUCAUUUGAAGAGUCGGCAGUGGGAAGAGAUGCAGUGAUGCCUUCACCACCGCUGUAUCAUCUGCUUCCUCAUCCCCAUUGUGGUUCGAUUACAGCGUCUACACCUAAGCAAUGGAGUGACUAUUUAUCUGCGAAGCUAGAAGGACAUAGCCUCGAUUUAAGACUUGAUGGUGAGAACAAAUAUUUCAUUUAGUUAUUUUUAUUCUAUUAUAUUUAAUUUAUGAGAUUAAAUAUUAUCUUUAAUGAUUUUAUUAUUAUUAUUUAAUCUAAAAAAUUAAAUAUCAUCUUUAAUAAAAAAAUAUUAAAUAUUUAAGGCUUUUUGGUAAGAAUACAUAUUUCCUUUAGUUAUUUCUAUUUUAUUCUAUUUAAUUUAAGAGAUUAAAUAUCAUCUUUAAUUCUUACAUUUUUCUUAUUUAAUCUAAAAAAUUAAAUAUUAUCUUUAACAAUAUUUUUUAUUAAAUAUUUAGAGUUUGCUUGGUUUUAUUUCUUUUCUUGAUUUUAUAAUAAUAUUUUUCUUAUUUAAUAUAAAAAAUAAAUAUUAUCUUUAACAAUUAGAUCUAUCGAAUAUCACUUAAAAAUAAAUUAUAACUUUAAUAAUUAUUUUUUGAAAAACAAAAGGCCAACAAUCACUAACAUAUUUUAUUAAAAUCACUUUAGUUUAUAUAGAAAAUAUUGAAAACUGAUUUUUGUUUUUUUACAUUAAAAUAAAAAAUUGAAUAAUGUUUUUAUAUUUUAUUUCAAACUCGAUAUUUUAAAACAAAAAUGAAAAAGAUGUGAUAUUAACAUUUUUUAUUAUAAAGUAAGUUUUUUAAUUAAAAGUGAUGGGAAUUUGUUUUUAUUGCAUGUACAAUCAUGCACAUUUAACUUUCUUUUUAAAUUUGAUGGUUUUUUAGGACGGAAAUGGCUUGAAGGUGGUGAAGGCUUUGAUUGACAUGAGAGUACAAGAUUAGUUUACAUAGAGAUGCUUGAAGUUGCUCCAAAUCAGUACGAUACUUUCAUCUGACAUGUUGAUAUGUAUUUGUUGGCUUGAAGAUUAUUUUCCAAGCUUGGAAGUUUUAUUGAAUUCUCUUUGAAAUCUUUUCCAUCCGCUGGACAACUUAUAUUAUUAUGCAUGAUGUAAUUUAUAUUUUCAAGUUACAAAUUUUGAUGAAUAUUGUUUCAUUUUUUUCCUCAUUUCAAAAGAUGAAAAUCCUUGAUCUUAGUUAGAAAUAAAUUGGUUUUCUAGGAAGAGAUUAUUGAUUGGAAUAUAGUAUUUGAAUUGGUUCUUCAUCAUUUACUGUUAUAUAUAAUUUAAAAUAAUUGAUGAAAAUACAUAGAAAAGUUUUGAGAGCAUCCUUAAUUAGUCUAGUAAGUAAAGUGUUGUUAGUUUUGACUAUAAGAUCUUGCUAUGUAUUAUUGCAUGGUUUUUACUAUUUUUUUGCAUUUCUUCUUUUUGUAUAUACAACUUUUGUUUUUCUUGCCGCUUGUCAUUAGCUUUAUGGCACCAACACCAAUUAAUAAUAAAUCUUGAACUAUUAUUAAAUAAAGAAAAAAUAUAAAUAUCGUUAAAAUACCAAACUUGAAUUGCUCAAUCCUAAAGAAACCCUAUGACAAUAAUCUAAUUUAGAAAAUAAUUAAUUUAUCCUUGUAGUCUAAGAAAAUAGUAUUUAAUUCUUAUGUUUUCAUAUACAUCUAUGAUUUAAUAUGUUGAUUGAAAUUGGCAAGUGAGUUUACUCACGUAUUGUUAUAUUGGUUUUGAGUUCAAAUAAAUGUUUAAAAAGGGAGUUUUUUCAUGAAUGUAACCCUUCAAUAUAUGAAUGUUUAAAAUUGUAUUCAAUAUGAAUGAUGGAUGAUUUUGCUAAGAAUUGGUUGGUAAAAAACUUAAUUUCGAUAUAUAAAAACUUAAGAGACAACAAUAAAUAGAGAGACUAGUAAAGAUUUUAUGUGCUUUCUUGUUUUUUUUUUUUAAUUGGAUUACCUUUGUCUUUUGUUUCAAGUAAAAUUCUAGUAUAUAUCACUAAAUUAAGAAUUAAAGGUCUAAUUAUAUGAAACACAAUUUUAAAGACUACAUCAACUACAUUUCAUAUGCUCAACUCUAAGCAAAUUGAAAUUUCAAGGCCAUUUGUAUCUUGAAAACACAAUCUCAAUAAUCUUAAUAUUGAAUUAUUAUUUGUUGAGUUGGAAAAUAGCACUAAGGAACACAAAAGCCGUACUGUUUAUCUUCUUGGCAUUGUUCAAAGGAACGCAAAAAGAUACUCCAAUUGUGAAAGAUUAUUAUUGUCAUAAAGUAAAACUUUCAAUAUAGAGAGUGAAAUAAAGAGCAAGAGCAAAAAAAUAAUUCGUGUGUGUAUUAGCUAAAUGAAAUGAAGAUUAGAGUAAAAAGGAUAAAAAAAAAAAAAAAAAAUAGAGAGAGAGACUCGUUAAGAUUUUAUGUUGGUGCUCAACAUGUUCUUUCUUAUUUUUUUUUUUUUUUUAAUUUUAUCUUAACGAGUGAAAUAAAGAAACACUCCCCCCAUCUUUCUUGUUCCCUUUCCCUUCUUUACAUGGCUUACUCAGUGAAAAAGCAAUUAAACACCCCAUUUGAUUUUCAAUCAGUAUGAGAGUGAGAGAGAGAGAGGCCAAGGUGGUCCUUGAAUAUUUUCUUCUUUUUUGUCUCGCUCACUGGGGCAAACCAUUUUUUCCAAAAUUUUGAAUAGCAUGCGAUCAAAAAGAAUUUUGAAUAGCAUGCCAUCAAAAGGAAUUUUGUUCAAUCCCAAUCCCACAUUGUCUGUAGAAGUAUUUACUUUUGACUGUACACUUUGUUAUUUUCCAAUCCCUCCCCAGUUCUGCAACCAUUUCUCUACUUUCUAUGCUCUUGGCUUGCUAAAAACUAAAGAAAACACAUUGCUCUACUUGCCUGCCUUCACUCUUCAGAUUGCUCAACAAAUCCCUUGAGACCUUCUCCAUAGUUAACACAUCACAUAAUGGCUACUCUAAAAAAUUUAGCCAUAAACAUUGAACACCUUGAGCAAUCAACGUGCCUUCCUUCACAAUAUCCAUCACCCAUAAAUCUUUCUUUUGGGAUGUCGCCGGGAGUUUAAUUUCCGUGUAAAAAUUAUGUAUAAAUUUCCAUUCUUUCCUUCCAUCCAUUACUUGUCCUCUAUGAAGAUUCUAUGUAUGAAAUCUCGGAAUCUUUUCGAGUAUAACUUGGGAUCAACAGCUGAGAUAGACGUGGGAUCCACUUCUAAGGACUUGUAUGCAUGCUCUAGCUUUUUGCUGAUAUCAUAAUCCUAGAGAUACCAAAGUGAAGAACUACAUCUCACAAUCACCAAAAUUCAAAGUAAAGUAACGGAGAAGAAAAUCUGAUAACAAUGAAUGAUCACUCAUUAACCACAGCGAAUCUUACGCUUUGAAAACACUUUUCACCAUCAAUUUUCCUUUUCUCAUUGAUUUUAAAUCUUCCAGGCAGAUAAAAUAGCAUUGGUUUUAUUCAUCAGCUUAGGCAUCAACAACAUGUUGCAUCCACAAUCUUACUACUACAUUAUAAUUAUAAACAAAGCUAAAAAAAUAUAUAUAUGAGGACAGAGUUAACAGACAUGCACUAAGAGUUAACAGACAUGCACUAACACACACUGUGCAAAUCAGUGUACAGCUGUUAUAACAAACAAGUGUACAAUCUGUUUUCUCCAACCUUCCAGCAUUAUUCUCCCGAGCAUAUUCUGUCAGCUCAAGAUUAGGCAAUUCUGUUAACCAUUCUGUUAGCUCUGUUCUCUUUUGUUGUAUAUAUACUUGAUUGAUUGAUUGAUUCAAUAACAUUAUCUUUCUCUCUUCUCACCUGCCCCCUUUUUCUUCUCCUUUUACCUCUAGCUUCCAAUGCCUAUCAACACCACCAUCCUUAACACAAAUGAAUCUCACAGCAUGUUGAUUACCAUCAAUGUAGCAGCCCAAACUCCAUUAAAACUUAUCUCCACCAGGCACCAACUAUCUAGCCUGGAAACUUUGUUGGGGAUUCCGGCUCCCCCAUGCGCGGACCGGGGGUGUACUGAUAGUUGCUCAACGGAGGGUAAAGCACACUGAUACAAUAUUUUACGUGGUUCGGCAAAACCGCCUACAUCCACGGGAGAGUCCAUAUUAUUAGAGAUAUAUAGAGAAAGGAUUACAACAUACAUGGAGGAGGAGGAUCACUUCACUCAAACUCAAUUCCCAGCUCUUUUGCUACACUUACAGCUGCUGCAAUGGCAGCAGCCAUUGCAGCUCUCUCUUUCUCUCCACUCUCUUGCACACACUCACGUUCUCUCUCUCUCAUUUUUCUCUCAAAUAUAAGCCUCCUUUAUAGGCAUUUCAUGGUCAACAUGGAGGGGCCAAUAGCCUUAAAGCAUGGCAUGAAUUGUGGCACAAUUCAUGCUUCCACUUGCUUAGUGGUGGGGUAUUGCCACAAAUGGCAAUAUCCUAACAAUCACCCCCUUUGCCAUUUGUGUGGGCAAUUGUCCUCUUGCUUCUUCAGCACAGGCUUGCAUCUUGCAGCUCUUCCAAGCUUACCAUUCUGAGAGCGUCUUCAACACAACAUUCCCUUUCGAGUGUAUCAAUCAUGCUCGGUCCGGAAUGAUUUUUCAAGCCUUACACCAAGGCUUACAACACCCCCUCAAAUAGAUAUUUCUAAGUGCGACAGUCAUUUAGUAUUUCAAUGUGAUCACAAGCUCACCACUCUUCCAAGAGUCUACUCAUCCAAGAGUUGUGCCUGCCCUCUGUUCCACCCUAGGAACCACGUCUUACUUCUCCGUGAGUCUCUCGCUCUUAGUCGUAAGAGUCCAGGUAGCUCUCCACCUUUAACCAUAGGGGCAGCCCAUUAAAGGUUGAUUCAUAUCUGUCUUCAUACUCUGAGUAUUACAAUGCCAUUACCGAGCUCACCACCUUAACAAGAGUCAACUCGUUCUCGGAACCUGCGCAUGCCCUUCUGCUUCUUCAUAGCAGCCGCGUCUUAAUGCUCCACAAGUCACACACUUAUUGUCCAAGGCAAAUGUCUUCUAGCUCAUUGAUCUUUAGCAUGGGGGCAAUAUCCAUGAAAGUCAAUCCUGCAUUUGUCUCCAUACUCAUCAUAGCCACUUCAUUGGCUAUCUAUACACUUGUCCACUUGUAUCUAGCCAUCACAUCGGCUUUGGAGCGUUCUGAACUGGGCUCAUAUCAUGGCCCUCACACCUUCUCCUCAGGUGUCUCCGCUCGUCAUCAUGCGACGGUCUGAACUGGGGCUCCUCUCAUAGCCCUCACACCUUCUCUACGGUGUCUUCGCCCGUUGUCAUGGGGCGGUCGCAUCCUUCUUCAGCUGGGAUGCUUCAAAGUGGCUCCAAAAUUCUCUACCACCAUGUGCACUAUGGGAGAGAUUAUAACCACUGAUUACAUAGAAAGAGAAACUUGCGGUAUACUCCUCGCAAUCCUCCACCUCGAUUUCUAUGUUUGGAGCUUUUGUGUCUUUCUACUUGAUAGCUCCACCUACACCAACUCUCUUUGGUGUCUUCGCCUUUCAUCAUAGGCGGUCGCCUUUUAUCACAGGCGUUUGCACCCCCUCAAUUAGGUGCUUCUACAACAGCUCUCUUUCCAUCCUUGCAUGCAUUGGAAAGGUCUUCGCCUGUUGUCUUCAUCAAGAGCAUAAGAGACUUCCUGUUGUACAAACUUUAACAGUCUCUGCUCUGAGCUUCAUCUGGGAACACUUCUUCUCCUUGCACCUAUUGUCUCAUUACAGUACCUCGUUGGAUCCUACGGGUACUCCUGCACAAUCUCCGUGUGCCCUCGUGCAAUUUCUGUUCUCCAGAUUUCUCCCUAUUUCUUGCUUAUGUUUGACAGCAGCUCAUCCUGUCACAACACCUGUCCAAGUCAAAAAUAUGGUGCCAAUCUUUAUCCCCUUGCUGUAUUCCUCUUCCAUUAUCAGGGUCUUCAUCAGUUCUCCCCUCGAGAAAUCACAGUCACCGAAUCUAACUUCUUUGGAGAAAUCACCACUCCAUCAGAUCCUUGAACCUUUGGAACCCAACUAUUCCCUUGUGCCGUCAUCCUGCUAGCCUUCAACUGUUUCAUUACAAACUGCUAUAUAUACAAAAAUAGUACCGUAUGGAUAAUCCUUCCACUAAGCAAGUUCCCAGGAAAGAUUGGAGGGGUCACACUGGUCCCGCUUAAAACCCAAUCUCCUAGACAGAACUUCUUAGGACAUAUCUAUCCAUCGUACUGUCUUUUUGUAUAUACAACCAUUUGCUAGCUUUGUUGCGGCUUUCCUUUACAAGUGAUCUGGGGUAUCCCGAUUUUAUACCUGAUUUCUCAACAUCUGGCGAGACUACCAGUUCUUAGAUUCGUCAAGAUUGGUCUUUAUCAAUUUUCACUCUACACCUCUAAUUGUCCACUUGAUCGGGUGUCUAGAGUGUCCCAAUUUUGCCUUCCCUCAAGGCAGUUAAAUUUCUCCCAACUUAGCAGCUCAGCACAUGUAAUUGGGUAAACAUGUGCACCUUCUUCUUCUUCUCUUCAACGACCACCAUGAUAACCUUCAGAUGCCUCCUGAUCGGGCAAUCUCUUUUGUUAAUUCAUCACUACCACUUUCGGUCUCAAAUCUCAACGAUCGGACCAUACCAUUGCAUCCGAAACGAUCAAAUUAGCUGGAAACAAGUCUGAAAUCGUCCAAAUCGCACUUCAGACGGCUAAGAUUUGAUCAAAACAAUUCUGGCCUGAUCAAUGGCUCAGAUUCAAUCUCAGAUCCGGUUGCACGUAGGAUCAGCUACACUGGAUCCUGUCCCUCGGCUCGCGGCUCGGCUCCAAUUAGGCUCGGCUCGGCUUGGCUCGGCUCGUGGCUAAUGACGUGGUUGGUGGGUCCCACUUUGCUGACGUGUCAGUGACUGUACGCUGACAUGGCAUGCCAACUGUGCAUGCUGACAUCACACUUACAUCAGGCUGAUGUCAUCCCUGGCAUGCCUACUAUGCAUGUUGACAUCACAAUUAUGUCAUACUGACGUCAUUCAUAUCCGGGUCAGCCAUGUGGGUCGGGUCAACUGGUAUUUGGGUCGGGUCAGCCCAUCCGGGCGAAGAAGACGCGUGGGGUGCGUCUGCGCGCGUGGGCAGACGCCUUGCCGGAGAGUGAUGGAGAGUACGGCCAUGUCCGACGUCCGAUUUUGACGCCGUUUUCACCAGUGGCUUCGUCUCGGCCUCCUCUACACGGUGGUAUAGUCAAAACACCAUUUUGAGAACUUUCAUUUUUGAGCAAAAAUCAAACACCCCUUUAAACCAUGUGCUCUGAUACCAGUUGUUGGGGAUUCCGGCUCCCCCAUGCGCGGACCGGGGGUGUACUGAUAGUUGCUCAACGGAGGGUAAAGCACACUGAUACAAUAUUUUACGUGGUUCGGCAAAACCGCCUACAUCCACGGGAGAGUCCAUAUUAUUAGAGAUAUAUAGAGAAAGGAUUACAACAUACAUGGAGGAGGAGGAUCACUUCACUCAAACUCAAUUCCCAGCUCUUUUGCUACACUUACAGCUGCUGCAAUGGCAGCAGCCAUUGCAGCUCUCUCUUUCUCUCCACUCUCUUGCACACACUCACGUUCUCUCUCUCUCAUUUUUCUCUCAAAUAUAAGCCUCCUUUAUAGGCAUUUCAUGGUCAACAUGGAGGGGCCAAUAGCCUUAAAGCAUGGCAUGAAUUGUGGCACAAUUCAUGCUUCCACUUGCUUAGUGGUGGGGUAUUGCCACAAAUGACAAUAUCCUAACAAACUUCAAUUCCAGACUCUAUUCAUAGGACAUUUGAUUGAGGUCUCCACAAACAUUGAAACACCGCAAUUUUUCAUGAUAAAAUCCAAAGGAUUGGUACUUUGGUGUUUGAGGGGCUGGUAAAUGAAAGAACAGAUCAAGAGAUGACAUCCCUCUAUACCGCUGUUAUUCCUUUCAAGGUGCGUAUCAGGUGUUUGAAAAACUUCCUCAACUUAAAAAUAAAAAGGUCCUGUUUACAAUGUUUUUUAGUCCUUUACAAAUCUUCCAAUGUGUUGCGUUUACUGAAUAUGAUAGUGGGAACUUAUUUAUCAAGAAUUAACUACUCAGAAGAAAAUGUAAAGACGCAAUAAUGAUUUUUUUAUUUUAGAUUCCAUAGUCUACAAACUUGGAAGCAUACGGACCAGUCAGAAGACAACAUGUUUAUUGUAUAUGAUAAACAAUAAUAAACAUCUCAUUCUUAAAAUGAUGGUAAAUCAGAAACAACCAUCCAAUACUUGAAGAUCUGUUGAAGAUAUUUGGCCUUUGGAAAUUUUGAAGAGAACUGGAGCAGUUGCAUAUGGAUUAGCUCUUCCAUCCAAUCUUUUCAUCUAACCAUCCAGUUUUCUAUGUAUCCAUGCUUUAAAAGUAUCUUCGUGCUCCAUCACAUGUAUUGGAGCCAUAAACAGUAGCAUUUCAAGGAGAUAUGUCAUGUGAAAUCCGUUCUAAUGAGAUUGCUUCAGUGAAAGUAAUGUGAGAAGGUCAUCCAAGUGAUGAAGCAACACGAGAACCUGAGAAGAUGAUACGUAAUAAAUAUCGUUAUUUCUUCAUUCAAUCAAGCUAACAAGUUUUCUACUUAAAUUCGAGGAUGAAUUUAUUUUAACAGGGGAGGUGGAAAUGUAAACCCACCCCAUAAUAUAUAACUCAUUAUUGUUUUAUAUGUUGGCCCGUUAAUUCAAGUCAUUUUCUUCUAUCUCUCUUAUAGGAAUGUUCCUCCUUCUCCCUUUUACUGCAAAUAUUCCCCCACGAUCCCAAACCAUCAAUUGACCCUAUAACUCUCUUGUUUUGAGUAGGUUUACUUCAACUUUAUCAAGUGUUUAUAAUAUUGUUUUAUGUUUAUUUAUUUAUAUAAAAUUGUUGAAUUCUAGGCGUUAUAUGAUAUUAGUUGAUGUUAUAUGGAAUUAUUUAAAUUAAUUUGUGUGUGGGUAGUAAUAAGUGUAUAUGAAUAUGAAUUGGAGUAAGGUCAUAGAUGGGUUGGUGUGAAGCUUUGAUUAAUUGAUAUAUUUUGAUGUAAUGAGUAAAUACCUUAAGAAAUUUGAAUAUUUGAAAGAUAAUAGGUAAAUAUUGAAGAAUUGUAUAGAAAGAAUCAUAUUGAAAUUAUGAAAAAUAUGUUUUGGGGUUGAUGAUGGAAGAAUUACAGUUUGGUCCUUGCUUUUGAGAAAUUAAGAUUUUGUCCCUAAAUUCUAAAACAAUUAUAGUUUAGUCACUGGUUGUAAAUAACAAUUUUUAAGAUAUUUUCCUGAUAAAUAUCUGAGAAAUAAUGAUCAUCUAUUAUCAAUUUUUAUUGUUAUCAUUUAAAUUUAAAAUUAAUUGUAUUAUCUACGAGCACAAGUGGUACAGUUAUCAAUCGAAUUUUAGCAAAAUCAAGGAUCCAAGAAUUGGCCUCUGUAACAUAUUAGGAAACUGGCAUGCAAACCCGACAAGAUAAAAGGCAAGGGACAAGAUAAAAUGAGAAAUAAGACACAAGAAUUUACGUGGUUCACCCAAUUUGGCUACGUCCACGGGCAAGUAUAGAAGGAUUUUACUAAGUAAUGUGGGAAUUACAACCUCUCUCUACUAAUAGGAGAACAACUGAAAUCUCUCUAUUAAUAGGAGAAAACACCUCACUUACUCUCUCACAAAUACCUCACAAUUUUGUGGGAUUACUUUCCCUCUCUCACUCUUCUCUUCCUCUCUUAUGAUGUGCAAAAUAAGCUUGGAUGCACUGCCUAUUUAUAGGCAAGCAUCCAAGCAAAGGACAAAAAGGCACCAAUUGGUGCUGCAAGUGGCACCGAAUUGGUGCCCAACAUUGUUGAAUUUGCAGCACAAAUUUGGUGCCUAACAUUGUUGACUUUGCCAACAAUGCAGCUGGCUUCACAUUCUCCCACUUGAAGACUUUGAUGAGUGAAUCAAGUCUUCACACUUAAUCAUCUGUGAUUCUUCUAUCCUUUCUAUACUUGUCAUCUUCAUGCUGCUUACAUUUCUGUUAGGCCAUAAGAGGAUCUGCACCAUAUGUACUUGUCAGUGUUGACUGGUUUGGUUAAAGCAUCUGCUGGGUUUUCCUUCGUGUGAACCUUUUGAAAAUCUACACUUCCAUCUUCCACUACUUCGCGAACAAAGUGAUACUAAACAUCUAUGUGUUUUGUUCUUGAAUGAAACGCGGGAUUCCUUGCAAUAUGCAAAGCACUCUGACUAUCACAAUACAAAAGAAUGUUCUCUUGUUUGUGCCCGAGCUCCUCCAUAAGUUUCUUCAUCCAUAUUGCUUCUUUACAAGCUUGUGUAGCUGCCAUGUACUCAGCUUCUGUUGUGGAUAAAGCUACAACAGUCUGAAGUUUAGAGACCCAGCUCACAGCUCCUCCUGCAAUUAUGAACACAUAGCCUGUAGUGGAUUUUCUUUUCUCAAGGUCGCCAGCAAAAUCUGAAUCAACAUAACCUCUGACGGUAAAUUCUGAUCCUCCAUAUCAUAAUGCAACAUCUGAGGUGCCCUUGAUGUAUCUCAAGAUCCUCUUAAUAGUAUUCCAAUGCUCUCUACCAGGAUUUGCCAUGUAUCGACUAGCUACUCCCACUGCUUGUGCAAUGUCUGGUCUUGUACAUAUCAUGGCAAACAUUAAGCUUCCCACUGCUGAUGCAUACGGUACUCGAGACAUCUCCAUCCUCUCUGCUUCAUUGCUAGGAGACAUACUUGAGGAUAAUUUGAAGUUAAUAGGAAGUGGGGUGGAAAUUGGCUUACAAUCUUGCAUGUUGAAGUGUCGUAAGAUCUUAUUCAAAUAAUUCUUCUGAGAAAGCCAAAUCUUCCUCUUACUUCUGUCUCGGUGAAUUUGCAUCCCUAGAAUCUUGUUUGCUGGUCCCAAGUCCUUCAUAUCAAACUCCCUAGCCAACUGUGCCUUCAAUUCUUGGACUCGAUCUUUGUUGGAGCCUAUUACCAACAUGUCAUCCACGUACAACAACAAAAUGAUGAAAACAUCAUUUUCUUCAAACCUCUUGUAAUACGUACAAUGGUCUGAACUGAGUCUGUUGUACCCAAGGCUAAUUAUGAAGGAAUCAAAUCUCUUGUACCAACAUCUCGGCGCCUGUUUGAGACCAUAUAGAGAUUUGUUCAACCUGCAAACCAAGUUCUCCUUGCCUACUUCAGCAAAACCCUCUGGUUGGAGCAUAUAAAUUUCUUCUUCAAGUUCUCCAUGAAGAAAUGCAGUUUUCACAUCUAACUGCUCUAAGUGAAGAUCAAAUAUAGCACACAUCGCCAAGACUACUCUGAUUGUAGUAAGUCAUACCACUGGAGAAAAUAUCUCAUUAAAAUCUAUUCCUUCUUUCUGAGCAUAUCCUUUCACCACCAAUCUUGCACGAUACCGCUCCACUUGAUUAUUGCCAUCAUGCUUUAUCUUGUAAACCCAUUUGUUGCCAAUGGCCUUCCUUCCUUGUGGUAGCGGAACAAGAUCCCAAGUGUUGUUCUUGUGUAGAGCUUCAAUCUCCUCUUGCAUCGCUGUCAUCCACAUAGAUACAUCUGUGCUUUUGAUAGCCUCAUGGAAAGUUGAUGGCUCUCCAUCCUCUGUUAGAAGACAGUAUGCAAUGUUGCUCUCAGUAACAUAUUCUGAGUGCCAAGCCGAUGGUCUUCUUUCACGAGUUGACCGUCGAACUUCAGGAGUUUCAGAUUCUAUUUGUUCUUGUUCUUCAUGCUCUGGUACAGCUUCAGAAGAAGUAUGAUUCUGAGUAUUUUCCAUCUGGACUGCUGUAGUCUCCUUUGGAAUGCUAUUAUGUUCUUCCAUUUGUAUUUUACCUUCUGCAAAUAUAACAUCUCUGCUGAUGACUAGCUUGUGGGAUUGGGCAGUGGGAUCCCACAAGCGAUACCCCUUCACUCCAUCAGCAUAUCCCAAGAAUACACAUUUUCUGGAUUUUGAAUCCAGCUUGUUGACUUCUUGAGUAUUGUACAUCACGUACACAGGACUUCCAAAUAUAUGUAAUUGAGAAUAAUCAGCUGACUUUCCAGUCCACAUCUCCAUCGGUGUCUUCAGCUCAAUUGCAGUUGAUGGAGAUCGAUUUAUCACAUAACAGGCGGUAUUGACUGCUUCUGCCUAGAAUGACUUUCCUAGACCUGCAGCCUUCAACAUUGCUCUCGUUCUUUCUAAUAGAGUUCUGUUCAUCCGCUCUGCCACUCCAUUUUGCUGUGGAGUGUAUGCCGUUGUGAACUGCCUUUUGAUACCUUCAUGUUGACAGAAGUUAUCAAAUUCAUCACUGGUAUAUUCUCCUCCAUUGUCAGUCCUCAAACACUUGAUCUUCUUUUCAGAUUCAAGUUCCACCCGCGCUUUGAAAGUUUUAAAGAUUGCGAACACAUCUGCCUUCCUUCUAAUUGGAUGCACCCAACAUCUCCUGGAGAAGUCAUCUAUGAAUGAUACAAAGUAUCUUGCUCCUCCCAAGGAUACAACCGGUGCUUGCCAAACAUCAGAGUGAAUCAAGUCUAAGAUGCAUUUGCUCUUAGUUGUUGAUGUGCCAAACUUCAACCUGUGUUGUUUACUUGUAACACAGUGCUCCCAAAAAGGUAAAGUAACCUUUGUAAGCCCAGGGAGUAACUUCUGAUCAAAGAGAACUUUCAAACCUUUCUCUGACAUGUGGCCUAGUUUUUGAUGCCACAUCAUCGUCUUCUUUUCUGCAGGACUGGCUGAUGCGAUUGACGCUUCUGCCCUAUGAUGUGUUUCUCCCAUUAAUACAAACAUGUUUGCAACUAUUUUUCUCGCCUUUAAAACUACCAACGCUCCUUUGACAAUUUUCAUUAUUCCAUUGUCUGUUCGGAUCUUAUAGCCAAGACUAUCAAAUUGUCCCACAGACAAAAGAUUUUUCUUUAAGUCUUUCACAUGACGCACUCCUGUAAUAGUACGAAUUAAGCCAUCAUACAUCUUCAAUUUGAUGGUGCCAAUGCCAGCAAUCUCUAAAGCAUGAUUAUCACCCAUGAACACUUUGCCUCCAGAGAUGGGUUCAUAUGUAUGGAACCAAUCUCGAUUAGGAGUCAUAUGCCAUGUUGCUCCUGAAUCCAUUAGCCAGACCUCAGUAAGCUCUUCUCUAUCUGUAGAGAUUGUCGCUGCUUCACUAUAUAAAACCUCCCCAUCUUCUGAGGUGCUCGCAACACAUCCUUGAGGUUUUGAUGACUCUGCAGUAUUCUCUAUACCCCUUUUAAACCAACAAUCCUUUUUGAAGUGCCCUUUUCUGCCACAGUUGUAGCAUUUCACAAUCUUCUUACUUCUUGAUUUGGACCUCCCUUGCCUUUGACUCCCACUGGAGCCACGCUCCGUUGAUCUCCCUCUUGACAUCAACAAUGCCUCUGCUUGGUUUGAACUAUUUCUGUCUCCUUUAUUUUUGCGCCUAUUUUCUUCUUCCAAGAUAGCGGCUGCAACAUCAUCAAAGACUAAAUAGUCUGUGAGGAUAUUAUUGGUCAAGUUGAUAAUGAGCUGAUCAUACGAAUCUGGGAGACUUCGAAGUAGAAGUUCUGCACGUUCACUUUCCUCUAUUUGUUGACCCAACGUAGUGAGUUGUGAAAAUAGAGUUCUUAUUGUGUUGAUGUGGUCAGUCACUGCCGUGGUUUCUGCCAUUCGAAGGGUAUAAAGUCUCCGCUUUAAGAAAAUCUUAUUGUGCAAAGACUUGGACUCAUAUAGCUUUGUUAGAGUCUCUCAUAUCUCCUUAGCUGUUUUCUUCUCCGCUACACUUGAUAAUACUUCAUCGGCUAAUGCUAAAUGUAUGUUAGCAAUAGCAUUGCCAUCCAUCUCAUUCCAUUUUGCAUUAUCAGUGAUCUCCGCGGGCCGAUCCCCAAUUGCUGCCAAGCAAUUGUCUUUCCUUAAGAUUGCUUUGAUUCUCAUUUUCCAGAGUGAGAAAUUGCUCCCAUUGAACCUCUCAAUCUCAUACUUUGCUGCCAUUUUAUUCACCGUGAUCUAUUCAGCUAUCACUGUUUCACAGAUCUGUAACGUAUAUAGAAAUAGUAUCGUGUGAAUAAUACUUCACUAAGUAAGUUCCCAGGAAAGAUUGGAGGGGUCACAAAUGGUCCCGCUUAAAACCCAAUCUCCUUAGACAGAACUUCCUAGACUGUAUUUAAUCACCGCACUGACUUUCUAUAUACGCCAACAGUAACGUAUGUGAAUAGUGCCGUAGACGUGAAUAGUAACCGUAUACACGAAUAACUUUUGUGUAUUAACAACACCAACCAAAAGGCUCUGAUACCACUAUUAGGAAACUGGCAUGCAAACCCGACAAGAUAAAAGGCAAGGGACAAGAUAAAAUGAGAAAUGAGACACACAAGAAUUUACGUGGUUCAACCAAUUUGGCUACGUCCACGGGCAAGUAUAGAAGGAUUUUACUAAGUAAUGUGGGAAUUACAACCUCUCUCUACUAAUAGGAGAAAACACCUCACUUACUCUCUCACAAAUACCUCACAAUUUUGUGGGAUUACUUUCCCUCUCUCACUCUUCUCUUCCUCUCUUAUGAUGUGCAAAAUAAGCUUGGAUGCACUGCCUAUUUAUAGGCAAGCAUCCAAGCAAAGGACAAAGGGGCACCAAUUGGUGCUGCAAGUGGCACCGAAUUGGUGCCCAACAUUGUUGAAUUUGCAGCACCAAUUUGGUGCCUAACAUUGUUGACUUUGCCAACAAUGCAGCUGGCUUCACAUAACAUAGUUUGUAUUCUGAGCCAAUCUGGGGUGGGACUUGAAACAAAUGUUGUAUAUUGUUUGCACUGUCACUUUGCUUACCCUCUUAGGUUUUUAUUGAGAUUAGGGAUUCUAUUGUAGCUCUUUUUUCUCCUUUUAUUAUAAUAAAAUAAUAUCUAUGGAUUAAUUUUGGUAUAAUUUAAGAAAGUAAGUCCUUUAAUCAAAUUUUAGAUUGACCAUCCUCUAUGUGUUAAAAGUAAAUGUUAAUUUAUAAAAUAAUAACUAUGUUUAAGUCUUGAUUAACUCAGAAGAUGUCUUCUAAGACGCAUCUCUGUCUUCUCUUCUCUUCUCUUCUUCUCUAUAAAAUUCCUUUUUAGCUCUCUGAUGUACUUAAUGUCCCGGAGGUGUGGCUUCUUCAUAUGAAGAAAAUGUUAAGAUUCAAUUAUGAUUUUAGAUUUUAGAUUCCAUUGUCUACAAAUUUGAACCAUGAUGAUGAAGCAUACGGACCAGUCAGUAGACAACAUGUUUAUUAUAUAUGAUAGAGGUCCUCAAUGUAUUUCACGUUUCUAUGAGAAAUUUCACGAGACUAUGAGUACUCGAAUUGAUCUUAGUACAACAUUUCAUUCUCAAAAUAAUGGUUAAUAAAAAAGAACCAUUCAAAUACUUGAAGAUAUGUUGAUAGCAUGCAUACUUAAGUGGAGUUUGCUGGAACAAAUAUGUACCAUUGGUGGAGUUCGUUAAGAGGGGGGAACUAAUUCCUCGAUAUAUUAGGCCUUUGGAAAUUUUGAAGAGAAUUGGUGCACUUGCUUAUGGAUUAGCUCUUCCACCCAGCUUUUUCAUCUAAACAUCCAGUAUUCCAUGUAUCCAUGCUUUAGAAGUAUAUUUGUGCUCCAUCACAUGUAUUGGAGCCAUAAACCGUAGCAUUUGAAGAAGAUAUGUCAUGUAAAAUUCGACUGGAGAGAAUUGAAGAUAGACAAAUUAGAAAACUUCGUUCUAAAGAUUGCUUUAGUGAAAGUAAUGUGAGAAGGUCAUACCUGAGAAGAUGAUACGUAAUAAAUAUCGUGAUUUCUUCAUUCAAUCAAGCUAGCAAGUUUUCUAAUUAAAUUUCGAGGGUGAAUUUAUUUUAACAGGGGAGGAAAUGUCAACCCCACCCAUAAUAUAUAACCCAUUAUUGUUUUAUUGGUCCAUUUAGGUAGCCCAUUUGUUAUAUACAGAAGGAGAGAGGUAAGGACAUUGUUAGUCAUUUUCUUCUUUCUCUCUUACGGGGAAUGUUCUUCCUUCUCCCUUUUACUGCAAAUAUUCCCCCACAAUCCUAAACCACCAAUUGACCAUAUAACUCCCUUGUUUUGAGUAGGUUUACUUCAACUUUAUCUAAGUGUUUAUAAUAUUGUUUUAGGUUUAUUUCUUUAUAUAAGCUUGUUGAAUUCUAGGCCUUAUAUGAUAUUAGUUGAUGUGAUUUGGAUUUAUUCUUAAGUUAAUUUGUGUGUGGGUAGUAACAAGUGUAUAUGAAUAUGAAUUGAAGUAAGUACCUUAACAAAUGUGAUGGGUUGGUGUGAAGCUUUGAUUAAUUGCUAUAUUUUGAUGUAAUGAGCAAAUACCUUAAGAAAUUUGAAUAUUUGAAAGAUAAUAGGUAAAUAUUGAAGAAUUGUAUAGAAAGAAUCGUAUUGAAAUUAUGGAAAAUAUGAUUUUGUCCCUAAAUUCUAAAAAACAAUUAUAGUUUGGUCACUGGUUGUAAAAACAAUUAUAUUUUCAAACUUUCAAUAUAGAGAGAGAAAUAAAAAUAAAAAGGAAAAGGAAAAGGAAACAACCCCCAGCUUUCUUGUGCCCUUUCCCUUCUUUACAUGGCUUCCUCGAUCGAUGUAAAAAAGCAAACGCCCCAUUUGAUUUUCAAGCAGUAUGAGUGAGAAAGAUAGAGAGGACAAGAGAGGACAAGGGGGUCCUCUCUCUCUUUCCUUGCUUUUUUUAACGCGUGGACCCAGCAGUUGUUGCCACCAAAUUCCUUCCUCAAUAUUUACCAGUGCUACACGCUUGAGAAAUUUCCUUGUUAUUUUUUUUAUUAAUGAAAUAUUACUUUUACCGUAUAGCCAUUGAAUUCUAGAUCAAUUUAUCGGGUAUUGGGCCGGUUUGGAUUUAAUAAUUAUGAUUCACAGACAUACAACUAGUACUUGCAACUAUUAAUAUUUAUUAUUUUCAUUAAGUUUUUCAAACUUUCAAUAUAGAGAGAAAAAUAAAAAUAAAAAGGAAAAGGAAACAACCCCCAUCUUUCUUGUGCCUCUUCCUUUUUUUUUAAGUUUAAUGUUGGUGUUUGGGUCAACUUGCACGCAUCUCGACUAAUUUCAUGGGCUCUGAAGUUAACAACUAUGUAAGUCUCCAAUGACCAUCAUAUAAACAACCACGGGGCUCGAAUUUAAAACUAUAAAAAAAACAAAUCUCUUAAUCACAUGAUCUUAUUAAUGUACCACCAUUUAGGUAGUUGCCCUUUCCCUUCUUUACAUGGCUUACCCGAUGAAAAAAGCAAACACCCCAUUUUGAUUUUCAUUCCGUACGAGUGAGAAAGAAAGACAGGACAAGGUUUGUUGAGGCUUUUUUUUUGGAACCUCGCUCUGGGAUUAAUUAGCGAGAAUAAGAAAAUUCUAUGCAAAUUAUACAAAAUUUAUUAUUAAUCAUCAAUAUUUAUUCUUAUCAUCAAUAUUGAAUAAUGGUUUAUUUUCUAGUAUAAACUAUGAUGGGUUCGUUUAUAAAAAUAAAUAAAUUGAGGUUUUUCAAUUUCCUUUAAACAUAUCAUAGUUUUAAUACCAUUUAUUUUUACAUUUUAAAAAUAAUUUUUAAAAAAAUUAAAAAUAAAUUUUAUUUUUUAUUUCAAAAUAAUAUUUUUUUAAAUAUUUUUAAAUUAUCUUGAUAUAUUGAUAUUAAAAUUAAUUUUUAAAAGAUAAAUUUUUUCAAACAUAAAGUUUAGCCUGCAGAUCUUCCGCUGAUCCCAUCUCAUUGUUGUAUGCAUCCAAGCUAAGCCAAUUCAAGAAAGAAGAUUUGAAGAAUACCACCAGCAGCAGGAGUAAUACAUUAACAUAACAGCAUUAUGGCAGAAGGAGGGACGACCUCACUGCAAGGGCGAAGGCAUGUUAAAGACUUGGGCGUGCUAUAAUUUAGAUUAAAACUUUAUUAAUAUUUUUUGAUUAGUUUUAUUUAAAAAAAUUGUAAUUCUUGAUUGAAUUAUUAAAAAAAUUUAAAAUUUAUGUGGAGCUUUCUAGAAUAACGUUUUAACUUGGAUUAAAAUUUCAGAAUAUUUUGAGAAAUUCAAAAAUUUGAUGAAAAAUCAUAAUUUAACUAAUUUUAUGUUAAUUGAUGUAAUUUUCAAUCCAACUAUCAAAUUGAGCUGAAAUUUUACGAGAAAUCUUAAAAUAUAUUAAAUAAAAUAUAAUUAAAAUUUUAUGAUGAGUGGAGCUUGAUAAUACUAACAAAAAAAAUCAUCAAAUAAAAACAAAUCAAGAAUAAAAUGAUUAUUUCCAUUAAAAAGUAAAAUAAAUCAACUAUUUAUAUAAUAGCUAAAUCUAUUAAGAUAAAUCGAAAAUAACUAGUAAAAUCAAUGACUUGUAUUGACGAGUGUGUCUAUAUAUACAUAUAGGAACUGCUGAUUCGAUUUGAAUAUGUUAUUUGAUUAGUCUAAUUCAUGAUUUGCAUUGACUCAAAAUUACCACUAGAAAUUCCUAGUUUCGUGGUGCUUUCUCAGCCUGCAAAUGAAUAUAAAGCAUAUCCUUUUAUCCUAUAUAAAGAAUACAAUUAACCUUUUUAUCUUUUAUAAUUAUAAUUAUUGCAUUGCUAAUAAUUUGCACGAAAGAAUAUUGUUUCUCUGAAAAGGGCUUGAGAAAACCCUAAGCAUAGUAUAUAAUCUCUUAUAGGAAUCUCUUUAUUAAAUUAUCAAAAUAUCAAAGUCUGUUUCCAAAGACUAUGACUACAGUUUAUAUAUAGAAACAACCAAAUAUAAAAAUUAUUAAUUUUUAAAUAGAAAAACCAGAGAGCUUGAUAAUAUUUAAUAAAAAAAAUAAAAUAGAAAAAUUAUUCCUUUUUAAGUAGAAAAAAAUUAUAAAGAUUUAAUAAUACUAAAUAAGAAAAAUUAAAAUUUCUACACUAAAUUAAAAAAACAAAAAAAAAACUGAGAAAAUAUUUAUUAUCCCAAUAGUUCUUAUAUUAAAAUCUCAUUUAUCAUAUGUUAUAUCUAUCAAAAUAAUAAUAAUAAUAACUUGUGACUUGAACUAAAGCUACAUGCGAAAACUAGAAAAACCCGGUAGAGACCCGUUCUGUUUUUUCAAAUAUGUUUUUUCUUCUAGCUAGAGACCUUUUUUUUUAAUAUAUUUUUCUAUUGGUUACUAAACCAUUUCAAAGUUCACUAUAUAAAUACUAGAAGAAUAUUUUAUUUUUUCAAUAUGGAAUAAAAAAAAUCAUUUUUGUUUACAUACCUCAAUUUAAAAGAAUUAGAUAAUAUUUUUUUAAUAUGAGAUAAAAAAACCUUUUGAAAUAAUCUUUUAAACUUUAUUAUAUGCAACAUGUAUAAUCUAUAUUCAUAUAAAUUAUUUCUUUAAUUUUUUUCAUUCUCAUAUUCAAACUUCCAAUAUUGAGAGAGAAAUUAAAAGGAGCAAAAGGAAACAACCAGUGAGGACAAUAUCCUCCAGCUCAUCAUCAGAUCCCACGAAAGGAACGCAGAAAGACAUUCCCUUUCUUGUCAUCAAGUUUUGAAUCAAAAAGUACUUUCGUGCAUUAUUGUCAUAAAGUUUUUCAAACUUCCAAUAUAGAGAGAGAAAUUAAAAGUAAAAAUAAAAAGAGCAAAAGGAAACAACCCCCACCCCAUCUUUCUUGUUCCCUUUUCCUUCAAUGAAAAAGCAAGCACUAAUGCACCUUCUCCACAAACUACCCCCCAAUUUCGCCACUAUAUAAAUAUAUUAUGGAAAACAAGAUAAAAAGAAAUCUUUCGGUACAUCUAUAUAUAUAUAUAUAUAUAUAUAUUAUGGCUAUGAAAAUAGGUUUGUGGAAAUUUACAUGGUUUGAUUUUGACAGUGUCAGAUUAGACAAUUGCAUGGAAAUGGUCUUCUUAGUUUGCCGUGUGGAAAAUCAUGUCAUUUACGGGACUGCUGGAGAGAGUUUCUAUUGAUAAUUUCACUCGAAAAGUUUUAGUAAUUUACAAAGGAAAUUUCUCCUUUAUAUGAAUUGAAAAACUAUUAUUGACUGACUUCUUGCAAAGUAUUUGCAAGAAAGCUAAAGAAUUAAAGUUUUUCAAUUUUGAAAAUUAUAAUUUAAAAUUUUUAGAAAAAAAUCAAUUAUUUUUAAAAUUGUUUUCAAAAAUACACUACCAGAAAUUCAUCUAAUACCAACGGACUUACCGACAGAAUUAUUCUGUCGGUAAAUUGCGGUGAUAAUUACUGACGGAUACUAAUCCGUCUGUAAUUCAGUUGGUAUAUACCGACGGAAUUAUUCCGUCGGUAUAUACCGACUGAAUUACAGAAGAAAGAUAUAGAAUUAAAAAAAAGCGGGGAUGUUGACGUGACAGUUUUUGCGGGCGAUUUUACCGACGGAAUCAACGAGGGAUUCAAACCCUGAUUUUGUUUAUGAGCAAUUUUGACUAUCUUAGAGGUAGAACUAGGUUCUCUUUAAUCAUAGAACUUGUAGCCUCAUGUCUUAGCUUUCUAACAAGACUAAUCUUGCUUAAAUCGGAGUUUUAUAACUCCAGAUAUAGUUAAAAAUAUGAGGAGAGGUCAGACAGUAACAGUUCAAUGUUUAGACAGUAACAGUUCAAAAAUGAGACAGUAAUAGUUGGACAGUAACAGUUCAAGAACGAGACAGUAACAGUUAAAAAAUGAGACAGUAACAGUUCAAAAAUGAGACAAUAAUAGUUGGACAGUAACAGUUCAAAAAAGGAGACAGUAACAGUUAAAAAACGAGACAGUAACAGUUCAAUGUCUAGACAGUGACAGUUCGGGAUUUAAACAGAAACGGUUCAAAUAUAUAUAUAUAUAUAUAUAUAUGUGUGUGUGUGUGUGUGUGUGUGUGUGUGUGUGUGUGUGUGUGUGAAAUGAGAAAAAUGUAAAAUAUUAAGAAAUGACUGAAAGAAAGACUUAUUGGUUGUUGAUAUGGUUAUAAUAAAACAUAUCCUUGAGUGAGGAAGUAGAGCUUCUAUUGCAGGUAGGUAAUCCGUACCUAUACUUUCUAGUUUAAUUCUAUGAUUUAAUAAGUUAUUGAUGUGAGAUGUGAAUUACCGAAUAUGGGAUAUUAGGAUAAAGGAGGAAAGUUUGCGUAAUGAUGCCGAUAUUUGGAAAGUAUUCUUAAUGUAUGUGUAUUCAAGGUGAACGGUUGUUCUGUGAAUUGCCAAGUGAUGAAAUUAUAAUUGAUAAAGAAAAUAUGAGAAGUGUGAUUUGGGGCGUGAACUAGCAUACAUUUAGUGUAUGUUAGGAUCCCGGGUAAGGGGAUCAAGAUGUAUUGGCUAGCAUACAUUUAGUGUAUGUUAGGAUCCCGGGUAAGGGGAUCACCAUGUAUUGGCUAGCAUACAUUUAGUGUAUGUUAGGAUCCCGGGUAAGGGGAUCACCUUGCAUCGACUCCUACAUGAUGAUGAUGAUGAUAACAGUGAAAUUGGUAUCGGUAAUGUGUUAAGCGGAAAUAAUCAUGGGUGGUUUUAUGAGAUCUUGAAUGGAGGUUGAUAAUAGAAGAGGAAAUGGUUUUUAGUAGUUGAAGGAGAAAAAGUCUCCAAUAAGAACCAAAAGGGAGAAGUGAAUAAAAUAUGAAUGUAUGUUGCCUUUUUAAAUUGCUGGAUAUUUGUAUUGCUAUAUUAUUGUGAUAUUCAUAUUUCAAUAAUAUGUAUUUUAUUUUCAGGACCAUCGCAUGCAUGACAGGAGUAGAUUUUGGCUUAGGUUCUUUUUUUGUAAUUUAGGUUCUAAGGAGUAUACCCUUGUAUUUGGUAAUAUUACAACUUUUAUUUAACUUAAUUUGUAUAAUUGAUGUUUAAACUUGAAUAGAUGAACUUAAUUCGGUAGUUUGUAUAACUAUGUUCCAUUAAGCAUGUUUAUAUCUUUAACCAUCCAUAAUGAUAAUUGUUGUACAAUGUAUAUCAUCAACAUUGUGGUUGAUAUGAAUGGUGAUGUUUGUGGGAUUGAGACCUAAGAUGAUUAGGCUGAAUUGAGUUGGAGAUGCGGUAUAUUAGAAGUGUAAACAGGACGUAUGUCGAUAACUUGGGACCUCCCGGUAUAGGGGAUACUCUGUUAAAAUUUCACUAGACUUUAAUGCAAAUACCAUGAAUAGAUAUAUAUAUAUAAAAUUUAGUCACUCUGUUUAUCAGCUAACAUGAGAUCGUUGCUUUAUCCCUGAUAUGGGAAUGUUACAGGUUCGAUAGAAGUCAUGGAUGAUUGUUCAUGGAUGUAUCGAGAUCCAUGUGUUAAUUUUGACAACAUGUAUUAAUUAAGAUGACAACAUGUAUUAAUUAACUAACAUAGUUAACUAAUACAUGUUUUCAUCAUAAUUUUAUAGAGGUUCGAUAAAAGUCAUGGAUGAUUGUUCAUGGAUGUAUCGAGAUGCACCCCAUGGAUUGCAGAGGAUUCUUUGAAGAAAAUUCAAAUUUUCAUGUUUUCGAUAAUAGUCUUGUUGAUGUUGACGCAGAGGAGUUGAAUGUUGUUUUGAGCUCUAACGGACAAGCAAAUAUCGAUGAAGAUGAUGAUUAUGAUGACAUCCAUAUUGAAGAUUGCGAUGGAGCUGAUGACUAUUCAAUUGAUGACGAAGAAGAAGAAAAUUCUGACUAACUAGCAGAAUCAAGGAAAGUGCAAAGCAUUUUUCUAAAAUGUAAUAUGUAUUAUCGAUGAUAUUUUGUAACAUGAAAUAUUUAUUUGAUAAGUGUUUAAGUGUUUUUGUGUGAUGGGCAGUUUGUAAUUUAAGUGUUUGUAGGAAGGUAAAUAGGCAAUACAAACAAAAGUUUUCAUGCACAGUGCACGAUCACCAACGUCCAUACCGAUGGAUUACAUUUCGUCGGUAUUGCACAGAGAGCUGUAAAAUAUUUAUUGGAAAUGCCACAAUCACCGACGACUUUGCAGAUGGAUUACCGUCCGUCGGCAUUCAACAGAGAGGUUCACUGGAAAUGCCACAAUCACUCACCGACGACUUUGUAGACAGAUUAAAGUCUGUCAGCAUUCCACAGAGAGGUUCACUGGAAAUGCCACAAUCACCGACGACUUUGCUGAUGGAGUAGAGUCUGUCGGCAUUCCACAGAGAGUGGUGGAAAUGCCACAAUCACCGAUGACUUUGCAAACGGAUUACAGUCCGUCGGCAUUGUGUCGGCAGCUCACAAUUAUCGAUAAAUUCACCAACGAACGGUGUGAAUUCCAAAGGACGGGUAAUAAAUGCAUAUCUGAUAGCGUGCAGCUGCCGACGGAAUUACCAACGAACUGCGAAAAAUAUGGAGGGUAAUUAAAAAAUUCUGGAGCAAAAUUCAAAAUUUACCGACGGAGUUAAAUGUUCGUCAGUGAAUCCGUCGGUAAAAUUACGAUAUAAAUGCCAGCGACCGCCCUUUGAGUUCAUUUUUUCAUCUCCUUUGUUUUUAGAGCUUAACUUUUUGUUUUUUUUCCCUCUCAUUUCCUUCAAAUCUCUUGUUUUUUCUUGUAAUCUCUAGUUAUAUCUUCAGCAAAUUAAAAGGUAUGUAUUUCCUCUACUUAAUUUGCUUUAAGAUUUUACUUUUUUAUUUGUUCUUUGUUUAGCAAUUGUUAUUUUUGUUAUGUUUUUUGUUUUGGUGUAUUUUCAUAAUGUAGAUAAAGUCUUACAAUAAACACAUUAUUAAGGUAAGCAUUUUUCAUUCUUAAAGUCUAUAGUUUUUUUUUUAACUUGUUCAAUAUAUUUUGUUGUUUGUUUUGCCAUAAUAAUUAGGGGUGAGCAAAUUCGGUUCGGUUCGGUUUUUAUCUAAAAAACUAACCAAAAUCAAAUUUUGAAAAACUUAAAAAUUCAAACCGGACCCAAACCGGAACCGGUUCAAACCGACCGGUUUCGGUUCGGUUCGGUUCGGUUUUUUUAUCAGGAAAACCGGAAAACCUGUAUUAUUGUUUUUUUGGGCUUUUUCGGGCUUUUUAAUGGGCUUUCUGAUGGGUUUUCUGAUGGGCUUGUAAUUAAUGUAAAUAUCAUCUAAUUUUGUUACAAAAUUCUAUAAUAUAUUUAAUAUUUUUUAUCACUAAAUAUUCAUUUAUAUUAAAUUAUUAGUGCUAAUAUUAUGUUUAAUAUGUUGCACAUCUUUCUAAUAUUUAUAUUUAGGAGUUUGGACUCCUCAUGCAUCAAAAUUUAAAUAACACACACACCAAAUUAAAAUUAAAAUUACAAAGCAUUGCCUUCAAAAUGGGCUUAAAAAAACAACAAAUAACAUUGCCAUAAAAAAUAAAAUACUUCAUGCAAAAAAUAUAAAUCUUCAUUGUGCACAUCAUCUCAAUCAAAAAGCACAACAAGAUGACAAGAACAUUGCACUUUGAUUCCGUAAUACCAUUGACAUCAAAACCUGAAAAUCAAGAUCUAAAAUUAUAACAUGAUAAAAUAAAUUAGAAUAUGUAAAAAUAAAUAGUAGUAUUUUACCAUCAAAGUAACUUUUGAACUAAUUAUCAUUUGUUACUAAAUGUAACUUUCCACCAAAUUCUACAAAAUAAAAAAUUAGACAUGUUAGAUGAUUGCAAACAAUUUAAUUAAUAAAUAACAAAAUAAAAGGUGCAAAUUUCUAAAAACAAUUACCUGACUCAAGGUUUUCGUAGGUUUCAAGAUCAUUUAUCAAGCUUCUAAUAUCAGUUGGAAUUGAUCCAUGAUGAAACCAAUUUUGACAACAAAUGAGUGCUUGAACAGUUGCUGGAGAUAGAGAACUUCGAAAUUGAUCAAGUACACGACCACCUGUGCUAAAUGCUGAUUCAGAAGCCACUGUAGAUAUAGGAAUAGCCAGAACAUGUUGUGCAACCUUUGAAAGUGUCUUAUAUUUCAAAGCAUUACUUUUUCACCAACCCAAAAUAUCUAACUUAUCAUCAUUACGAUCCUCACAACCUUCAAUCAAAUACCUCUCAACCUCAUUUUUAUUUUCCACACUAUCCACCUUCAGCAAAUGUCUUUUGAAUCGAGCCAAAGUGUUAACAUCUACCUCCACAUCAUCAAUAGCAUUAACAUCCUGUUUAUGCCUAUUAUUAUCCACCACUUCAUCAAUUUUCAAAUAAAACUCAUACAAGCUCACCAAAGUAUCUUUCACCUUAUUUGUUAGCAAUUGUGCUUUGUCAUAAUCAUACAAAUCACCAAAACAAAAUUCCACAUAUUUCAACUUCAAACAUGGAUCUAAGACAUUAGCCACAUAUAACAAAAAAUUCUGAUUUACUUCACAACCCCAAUACUUCUCAAACUUUAACAUCAUCUUCAUCGCCAUUCCACUUUAACAAGUUUGUAUGCAUGUAAAUCAAUUCAUUGAAGAAAGAAUUUGAUGUGACAUGCAAUGAGCCAGAAAAUAUCAAUGUAACCAUAUAAAAGAUCUUUAAGAACUUAACCAAAGUUCUUGCAUUUUCCCAAUCCUCCAAACUAGGUGGCCCUAUGUUUUUUUUAUUCCCCUUUGAAUCAACCUCCAAAAAGUAACUCAUAUACCUAAGUUCUCUUUCACCUAACCUCACAAAUACCUUUUCAAACUUUUCAGCAGCUUCUAGCAUAAGAUAAGUUGAAUUCCAUCGAGUUGCAACAUCUAAACACAAUGAUUUCUUACACUCUAUAUGCAACUUUUCAGCACACUUCUUAAAUGCAAGAUGCCUCAACGGUGAAGAUCUCACAAACCUAAUGGCAUUUCGAAUCUUAACAACUGAAUCAUUAAUCUCUUUCAAGCCAUCACACACAAUGAGGUUUACAAUGUGUGCACAACAUCUAACAUGCAGGUGCUCAUUUGACAAUAUAUUAGUUGGCCAAUCUUUCAUCACAUUCUUUAAAUAUGAAAUGGUCACAUUAUUAGAGCUUGCAUUGUCUAAUGUAAUAGUCAACAGUUUAUCAAUCCCCCACUCCAACAAACAAUUCUCAAUAACUUGGCCAAUUGUCUCACCCAUAUGAUUGGAAACUUGACAAAAAUUAAGAAUUCUUUUAUGCAAAUUCCAGUCAUUAUCAAUCCAAUGAGCUGUUAAACAAAUAUAGUUAAUAUUUUGGAUUGAUGUCCAUGUAUCUGUUGUCAAGCACAAUCGUUGACCCCUAAGAGCUGUCCUCAAUCUAUCCUUCUCUUCAACAUAAAGUUUCAAACAAUCUCUCAUAAUUGUAAAACGAGAAGGAAUGUCAAAUCUAGGUUGUAUAGUCCUAGCAAACAAUUUAAAUCCCCGACCCUCCACAAAAUUAAAAAGCAACUCAUCAAUUAUAACCAUCUUUGCUAGUGCUUGUCUACAUUCAUCAUAAUUAUAACCUAUUGCCUUAAGACUUCCCACAUUUUGUUCUCCCAAUUCACCCUUCUCUAUCUUAGGUUCUAAUACCAAAACCUUUUGUUUCUUAUCAAUCACAAAAGGGAACUUCUUGUACACUUUUAAAUGACUCCACAUAUUACUUGUGCCAUUAACAAUAGUAUGACAUGCAUAAUGUUUUCCACAAUAAUUACAUUCAGCUCUAGGGGUUUUAGGAUCAACAUCAAGUUUUGUAAAGUGAUCCCAAGUUUGUGACUUCUUUUUAUCAUCAGCAUUUCUUUUCCUAGAUGAAAGGACUUGAGGUUGUUUACCUUGUGUAUCUGUGGUGGAUCCUGCAUUGGUUGAUUCUACAUUAGGUUUUGAAGUUGGAGAAGUAGUUGAUGUUGGUGUAGUGCCUGUGGAUGAAGCAUUUUGAAUUUGAGUAGUUUCCAUCUGUUAUUAUAUAUGAAAACAUGUUAAAAACCAAUAAUUUAUAAUAGAUUAACAACAGUAUGACAUGCAUAAGUUCAACUGUAAUUUUAAAGAUUAUUUUCACAAGUUAAGUUCUUUUAUUUUGGUUGAUAUGUUGUAAAAACAAUUAUGUUGCUGAGUGCUGAGAUUGUAUUUUGUAAUUUCAAUAGACAAUAAUACAAUACAAUAUAUAUAUAUAUAAACAUUAUUCUCUUUUCAAUAAAUAAAAAAAAUUCAGUUUUCAGAAUUGAUAAAUUACAAUCCACCGAAUCCCCCCUCUUUUUUUUAACACAGAUAAUAAACAUUAUUCUCUGUUUUUUUAGCACACAGCAUUGACAGCACACCAUAAUAAUGGAUUAGCAAUAAUAUUUAAAACAAAUGCCUCUCGGGGAAACUGUAUUUUCCCAUUUUUCUCCCUAAUGUAAUAUCAGGCUCAUAAUACCAAUUCACCGCAUUGGUAUUGCAAGUUUUUAUCAUUUGUUUAGUAUCAUUUUCUUCUUCAGUCAUUUGGCUAUUGACAUAAUGAGAUAAUUUUUCUAAUCUUUUACCAGUACUCCACCUUAGAGUAUGAGUGGAAUUCAAUCUCUAAUGUCUAGCUAAAAGCCUAAAACGGCACAAAGAGGUUUCUUUAGUAAUGAUCAAGUUUUACCACUACCAGUGCCAAUUAUUCCCAUUUCUUUCAGUGAUGUGCUGUUAGCUUUAGCAUUUGGAACAAUCAUAACAUAUUGUCUUUCUCAUGACCAGUGCCAUUUCUACCAGUGCCAAUUAUCUGUGUUUUGUAUAUUAAAUUAACAUGCAAGAGUUUGUAUAUUAAAUUAACCCUCAUUCCGAUAUUAAUCUAGAUUCCAUUAUUUUUUCAUUGCUACUCAUGACCUUAAUAAAACACGAAUUCAUUAACAUAUUGUCUUUCUCAGCAAAGAAAAAACGCAUUGUCUCUGUCAUAAAUCUCUUCUUAAGAAGUUUAUUAAAAAAUAAACAGAAUCACAGAGCAAUAGAGCAUAUGUUCAAAAAAAAAACAGAGACAAAAAAAAAAUCAUACCUGGUGUGACACGAUUCAAGGUCGGGUGUGAGAGAGGGAGGUGACUGCCUCACUGGUUCGCUAAAUCUGGAGUUGGACUCUGGAGGUUCGGUGAGCCGGUGUGGUGUGUGUCCUACGAUUCAAGAUCAGGUGUGACCGUGUGAGAGAGGGACGUGGCUGACUGGGGUUUGAAGAUGAAGAUGGUGGCCGGUGGGAGAGGGAUGUGGCUGACUGGCGUUUGAAGAUGAAGAUGGUGGGAGAGGGAUGUGGCUGACCGGCGUUUGAAGAUGAAGAUGAAGAUGGUGGGAGAGGGAUGUGGCUGGUUGUGGUCCAGUAGAUGAAGAUGGAUUGAUUUCUUACAUAUGUGAAAUUGUGAGUUGUGAGUUGAGGGAGCGGCUUAGGAGAAAGGAGAAGGACGGCUGGAGCAGGAGUAUGGAUGCUAGGGUUAAGAAAAACAACGCGAUUUUUUUUGUAGCUAUUUAUAGUACCCCUUAAACCGAACCGGUUCGGUUCGAUUGGGGUUUUUCCGGUUUCAGGUUUCUAAAACCGAAACCGAACCGAACCAAACCAAAAAUUUUUACAAAAAAUUUAAUCGGUUUUUUUGGUUAUUUUUUUUUCGGUUUUCUCGGUUUAUUCGGUGUCUCGGUUUUUUUUCUCACCCCUAAUAAUAAUUGAACACUUUGUUGAAUUUUAAUUGUUAUUGUUGAAUUUACCUUGCAAUUAGUAAUUGAAUACACUGGAAUGAAUUUAAUUAUUUUAUCUCAAUUUUACUGUAUUUUUGCAUGAUAUGUGUUUAAUUAUUUUGUUGAAUUUUAAUUGUUAUUGUUGAAUUUACCUUGUAAUUAGUAAUUAAAUAUAUUGGAAUAAAUUUAAUUAUUUUAUUUCAAUUUUACUGUAUUUUUGCAUGAUAUGUGUUUAAUUAUUUUGUUGAAUUUUAAUUCUUAUUGUUGAAUUUACCUUGUAAUUAGUAAUUGAAUAUAUUGGAAUGAAUUUAAUUAUUUUAUCUCAAUUUUACUGUAUUUUUGCAUGAUAUGUGUUUAAUUAUUUAGUUGAAUUUUAAUUGUUAUUGUUGAAUUUACCAUGUAAUUACUAAUUGAAUAUAUAAGAAUAAAUUUAAUUAUUUUAUCUCAAUUUUACUCUAUUAUUACAUGAUAUGUGUUUAAUUAUUUCCAUUAAUUUUAAUUGUUAUUUGUAUAGAUGUUAGGUUAUAUGUAAGAUUUUUGAAUGGGGGUCAAUUGGUUGUGGCUAUUGUUAAUAUUUGAAGGUUUGAAAACUUUGGGUAGUCUCCAGUAUAGAAGAGACGCUGCUGAAUUUUUUUUAACAAUCGAAUUUAAUUAUAUAAUUAUUCUUAUAAAAUUGCGUAGAUGUGUAUAAUGAAAUCAACUGUUCGUCGCUCACAUAUGGUCGCAGCUAGUUCUUCUAGCAGCAAGAAUGACAUUUCCUUAGGUGUCAAUCAAGAAGAGGUACCUGCACCACCUACCGAUGCUGCCUCUUGCAGCACGGUUUCACAGCGCAGAGACGGCGUGCCUUCACAGUGGAAUCAAUUUACUUACAAGUACGAGGCACAAUGGAAGAACGAUGUUUCAAUGUAAGUUUGUUUUGAUUUUAGUUUUUUUUUUAAUUAUAACAUAAUUUAUGAACAACUAAUCAAUAUUUCAUUAAUUUAAUUUAUUUUCAGGUUCACAAACAUUGAGACCGUCCGAGUAAUAUCAUCGGCGUUUAAAUCGUCGAUGGAGAUUCCAUUAUUUCAAUGGAGUUAGGUAUCCAGACAUCCUGAAUGGAUACCUAAUAUCGAUGCAUGGUUUGAUAAAUUUGAGGUUGGUGUUAAUUUCUAAUUUCCAGCUUAUUUUUAAUAAAUUAUUAAUAUAAUUAUAAAUAAAUUAUUAUUUUUAUUUUAAAUAAAUUAUGUAUACGUGGCACAAAUUCGAGUAGGACAGCACACAUGAUAAUAUUGUGAGGAGGGUGUGGGAAAAUCAUGCGGCAACUAAGUAACAUCGAAAACAAUAUGAUAUUUUUUAAAAAAAAAAUAUGUUUUAAAAUCUAAUUUGUUACUAUGGAAGUAGGUUGUGUGAUUUUUGGUAUGAAGCACAAAAAAAGGUAAAAAAAAAAAAAACACGAGAGAUAGAGGUCUCCAAGGCUAGAACGACGUGGCGGUUUGGGGGGAUUUCAAACCGCUACACAUCCCGGAAAAUAUUUGGCCGGAAUAUAUUGAGCACGUGACGUCUGAGCGGUUCACACGACGCUCAAAGUCUGGUGCUGACAACCGGAACAGGCAAAUUCAUGGUUCACUGACAACGCACAUCGACGGCUCCGUAUCGUUUGCUACACAUGCAAAACGGAUAUAAGAUUAAUUUAAAUGAAAUAUAUCGUUAAAUAAUUUGUUGUUACUUAAUUAAUUUUUUUUCUUACAGGCUACGUCUCUUGGACGUGAGCCGAGCCCAAUGGAGCUGUUUGUAGAGACGCACAUGCGGAGUCAAGACCGCCAAAAGGGGGUGCAACAGUUCGUUGACAACCGCGCUCAACACUUUGUGGUAUGUUCGUUCAACCAUUUUAUUUCGUAAGUUAUUAUUUUUAUUGAAUUGAAUAUGAUGAUUUUUUUUUAUUUUCAGGAUACCUAUAAUAGUCGUUGAGGGAGAGAUAUAGGGACGAUCCUUCAAUCCAUCCGGAUUUCAAUCCGGAUUUGUGGAUGGCGGUAGGAUCGUCCGGUGGACUCGAUAAAAAUCAGGUGUAUGGGCUCUCCAACACCACGGCCGAGAACUUGCGAGCGGCCAGUAGUGCCUCAACCGUUGGGAGCUCCCAAUCUAAGGAGUCCGUGGCCUUGCAGCAACACACGAGUCAUCUCACCGAGAAAUACGAGCAACUCUCGACGAAUUAUGAACUUCGCCAAAUUAUCAUGAACAUGACAUCACAGAGUGACUUUAUGGUCUCGGGAAAAACCAGCCUCCUCCUCCUCCUCCUCCUCCAGCCCCGCCAUUCUGCUAAUUUAAUAUUUUUUUGGAAACACAUUCAAUUUGUAAUGAAUAUUAUUUAACUUUAUUUUUUUAUUUUUGAUGUUUAAUAAAAUUUUAUUUGCAUAAUAGUUUUUUUUACUAUUAAUUUACAUAUUUUUAUAUUAUUUAUUCUAAAUAAUUUUUUAAAAAACAAAUUUAAAAAACCCCACCAACAGAAUUCAUCCGUCGGCAUUUUACAGAAAGUUGAAAGAUAUUUACUAAAAAAGGCCACAAUCACUGAUGUCUUCACAGACGGAUAGUGUCCGUUGGCAUUUUACUUAGAAUCAAAAAAUAUUUACUGGAAAUACUAUAUUCACUGAUAUUUUCACAGACAGAUUUAUUUCGUUGGUAAAUACCGAGAGUUCAAACAAUGACUUGCAUUGACGAGUGUAAUAAUCUGGAACCACUCGCAAUAAAUAAAGCCACAAAAGGCAGACGAGAGUGUCUAUAUAUAUACAUAUAGGAACUGCUGAUUCGUGGUGCUUUCUCCUGCAAAUGAAUAGAAGACGAGUGUGUCUAUAUAUAUACAAAUAGGAACUGCUGAUUCGUGGUGCUUUCUCCUGCAAAUGAAUAGAAAGCAUAUCCUUUUAUCCUAUAUAAAGAAUACAAUUAACCUCAUUUCAAUAUCCUUGCUUUACUCUUCAGCUAACUUCUCUCUCCCAUUGCUGAAAUUUCAUAGCUAACUCUUUGUUAUAUAGAGGUAUAUAUGGCUAACUCUUCUUUGCUUCUUUCGUGUUUUAAUUUCAUGUCUUUACCAUUAACAAUAAUGUGAAAGCUUUGUUUGUUUCAUGUUUAACUUCAGUUGCUAUUGUCUUAUGCUCUCUCAUUAUUAAGCUUAAACUGUUGUAUCAUCUUCGAUGAUCUUGACAUGUAUCUCUUACUUGUAUUAGCAAGAGAGUAGAUACCUUCUGCAAUUGCUCCAUUGCUAAUUGACUGUGCCUUGAUUUCUGCAGCUGCCAUGACAGAGCCGGAGUCUUCUCGAUCUAUAUCACUAGGGGCCUAUGAUGUCUUCUUGAGUUUUAGAGGAGAAGACACUCGCAAGACAUUUACAGAUCAUCUCUAUACUGCCUUGGUCCAAGCAGGAAUCCACACUUUUCGAGAUGAUGAUGAACUUCCGAGGGGAGAAGAAAUCUCCGAUCAUCUCCUCAGGGCAGUUCAAGAAUCGAAGAUAUCCAUAGUUGUCUUCUCAAAAGGAUAUGCUUCUUCUAGAUGGUG
rnacentral:lncRNA from 1 species